rnacentral:tRNA from 1 species
GUAAUUGUAGCUUAAUAGGAAAAAGUGUAAGAUUGUGGUUCUUACUGAUAAGGGUUCAAAUCCCUUCGAUUGCCCA